rnacentral:rRNA from 1 species
AACUGAAACAUCUAAGUACCCCGAGGAAAAGAAAUCAACCGAGAUUCCCCCAGUAGCGGCGAGCGAACGGGGAGGAGCCCAGAGCCUGAAUCAGCAUGUGUGUUAGUGGAAGCGUCUGGAAAGGCGCGCGAUACAGGGUGACAGCCCCGUACACAAAAGCGCAUGUGCUGUGAGCUCGAUGAGUAGGGCGGGACACGUGGUAUCCUGUCUGAAUAUGGGGGGACCAUCCUCCAAGGCUAAAUACUCCUGACUGACCGAUAGUGAACCAGUACCGUGAGGGAAAGGCGAAAAGAACCCCGGCGAGGGGAGUGAAAAAGAACCUGAAACCGUGUACGUACAAGCAGUGGGAGCACCCUUUGGGGUGUGACUGCGUACCUUUUGUAUAAUGGGUCAGCGACUUAUAUUCUGUAGCAAGGUUAACCGUAUAGGGGAGCCGUAGGGAAACCGAGUCUUAACCGGGCGUUAAGUUGCAGGGUAUAGACCCGAAACCCGGUGAUCUAGCCAUGGGCAGGUUGAAGGUUGGGUAACACUAACUGGAGGACCGAACCGACUAAUGUUGAAAAAUUAGCGGAUGACCUGUGGCUGGGGGUGAAAGGCCAAUCAAACCGGGAGAUAGCUGGUUCUCCCCGAAAGCUAUUUAGGUAGCGCCUCGUGAAUUCAUCUCCGGGGGUAGAGCACUGUUUCGGCUAGGGGGCCAUCCCGGCUUACCAACCCGAUGCAAACUGCGAAUACCGGAGAAUGUUAUCACGGGAGACACACGGCGGGUGCUAACGUCCGUCGUGAAGAGGGAAACAACCCAGACCGCCAGCUAAGGUCCCAAAGUCAUGGUUAAGUGGGAAACGAUGUGGGAAGGCCCAGACAGCCAGGAUGUUGGCUUAGAAGCAGCCAUCAUUUAAAGAAAGCGUAAUAGCUCACUGGUCGAGUCGGCCUGCGCGGAAGAUGUAACGGGGCUAAACCAU